GCAACCAUGGCCGAGUUGUUAAGGCGUCUGACUGGAAAUCAUAAGGGGUCUUCACUCGCAGGUUCGAAUCCUGCUUGCUGCA